AUAGAAGCAUGACCAUUUCAGUUACAAGUUAAAGCUUUCAACUUUUCAAGUAAGAAAAACCCUAUGGAGUUGUUAUUUGUAUUUUGGUAGGAAGCUCUGGUAGACCUGCAUAGGAAGAAGUGGGGUUGGAGGGGACCAAUAUGAAAGAAGGGUAGGUUCAACAGCUGGGAGUGCACUGAAAUGAUGAGAGGACAGGAUCUGAGGUAAUGCAGUUGAUGAGCAGAGCAAAGAUUCUACAGGAAUGCACACAGAUAAGAGGUAGAACAUAAAGAGUUGGGACUGAUAAGAAAUGGUGGCGGAAGGGAAGGGAGGAGGCAUGGGUAAAUUUAGUUCCCUUGGGAAAAUCCAUAACAGAGUGUGAAACAAGUACAUUUCUAGAAGGACACAAUGAGUUCCCUCAUGGAUGCAGUUUCAAAGAAUUGAGAUAUCUUGGUAGUUUGGAGCAUGGCACUGGGACUCGGUAGACAAGCUGUUUGCUAGCCCUAGAGUUCUGGGAUUUACUGGAGUUAGUAGGAGUUUAGCAAUUUACUGCUGUUAGUACAAAAGCAGCACAAACAGAUGGGAUGCCUCAGGGAAAAUAAAAAGAGAGCAGGCUGGAACUCACUGGCACUCGGAAUGAGCCUUGUGCUCUAUCCAUAAUUUAUUCUCAUAAACUUGAAUCCAGCUUCUACCUUUAUGCACUUCAAUUCUUCCUAGCCAAGCUCCUUUCUUCUUCUUUUUGACCAUUGUAGAGACUUCUAAUUUGAAGCUUAAUUGGCCAAAGUAGAUAUAACUCCACUGCUAAAGAAACACAGUGUAAUUCCUCUGACCAGUGAAAAGCUUUCAUCCCAGAAAAGCCAUUUUCUCCAGGGAGCAAACUCUUAGCCUUCAGUAUUAUGAGCUUAAAGAGUGCAUAGGUCUAAUGAGUGGAAACUCAAUACUGUAAGAUUCUCUUUCUGUAGGAAAAUGCUUCUCUUUUUAUCAUAAAACUGAAGUACUGAGGAUUUCAAAUAAAAGUCAUUACUAUUAUUUUUUGUUGCUGUUGCUUGUGGGGCUUAAACUCUGUCUGGGUUCCUGAGCUCUUCAGCUCAAGGCUAGUGUUCUAUCACUUGAGCCACAGUGCUACUUCCAUUA